UACGAGGGGGCAAGUGUUGUUCGGAAUCACUGGGCGUAAAGGGAGCGUAGGCGGGCGCUUAAGUGGGAUGUUUAAAACCGGGGCCCAACCCCGGAGCGCAUUCCAAACUGGGCGUCUUGAAUAGGGGAGAGGUCGAUGGAAUUGGAGGUGUAGCGGUGGAAUGCGUAGAGAUCUCCAAGAACACCGAUUGCGAAGCAGUCGACUGGACCAUAUUGACGCUGAGGCUCGAAAGCAUGGGGAGCAAACAGG
rnacentral:rRNA from 1 species